CGACCUCAGAUCGGACGAGAUUACCCGCUGAAUUUAAGCAUAUUACUAAGCGGAGGAAAAGAAACUAACAAGGAUUCCCCCAGUAACGGCGAGUGAAGCGGGAAAAGCCCAGCACCGAAUCCCCCAGUGUCACGCUGGCGGGAACUGUGGUGUGUGGGACGCCACCAGUCGCGCCGGAGGGUGCCGAAGUCCUCCUGAUCGGGGCUUCACCCAGAGCGGGUGUUAAGGCCUUUGCUGGCACCUCUCCGCGCGGCCGCGAGCGUCUCAGAGUCGGGUUGUUUGGGAAUGCAGCCCAAAGCGGGUGGUAAACUCCAU
rnacentral:rRNA from 1 species